CACGUAGGGUGCGAGCGUUGUCCGGAAUUAUUGGGCGUAAAGAGCUCGUAGGCGGUGUGUCGCGUCGGCCGUGAAAACCUGCAGCUUAACUGUGGGCUUGCGGUCGAUACGGGCAUCACUGGAGUUCGGCAGGGGAGACUGGAAUUCCUGGUGUAGCGGUGAAAUGCGUAGAGAUCCGGAGGAACACCAGUGGCGAAGGCGACGCGCUGGGCCGUACCUGACACUGAUGCGCGACAGCAUGGGGAGCAAACAGG
rnacentral:rRNA from 1 species